GGGUGAGGCGAGCUAAAUGCAGUUGACGAAUUAAGUUUUAUAAAUUUAUUUUAUAAACUUAAGUUAAGUAGCGGACGGGUGAGUAACAUGUAAGAACCUACCUUUAGGAAGGGAAUAACUAUUGGAAACGGUAGCUAAUACCCUAUAAGCUGAGGAGUAAAAGGUGAAAACCACCUAAAGAUGGGCUUGCAUCUGAUUAGCUUGUUGGUGAAUUAAUUGUUUACCAAGGCGAUGAUCAGUAGUUGGUCUAAGAGGAUGAUCAACCACACUGGGAUUGAGACACGGCCCAGACCUCUACGGAGGGCAGCAGUGAGGAAUUUUCCGCAAUGGGCGAAAGCCUGACGGAGCAAUGCCGCGUGGAUGACGAAGGCUUUUGAGUCGUAAAAUCCUUUUCUUAGUGAAGAAAAUAGACGGUAACUAAGGAAUAAGCAUCGGCUAAUUCCGUGCCAGCAGCCGCGGUAAUACGGGAGAUGCGAGCGUUAUUCGGAAUUAUUGGGCGUAAAGCGUCUGUAGGUGGCUAUUUAAGUCUACUGUUAAAUAUCAAGGCUUAACCUUGAAAAAGCGGUAUGAAACUAAAAAGCUUGAGUUUAGUAGGGGUAAAGGGAAUUCUCGGUGUAGUGGUGAAAUGCGUAGAUAUCGGGAAGAACACCUGUGGCGAAGGCGCUUUACUGGGCUAAAACUGACAUUGAGAGACGAAAGCUAGGGGAGCAAAUAGGAUUAGAUACCCUAGUAGUCUUAGAUGUAAACGAUGGAUACUGAGUGUUGGACGAAAUAGAGUUCAGUGCUGUAGCUAACGCGUUAAGUAUCCCGCCUGGGGAGUAUGCUCGCAAGAGUAAAACUCAAAGGAAUU
rnacentral:rRNA from 1 species